CUUGCUUGACUCGUUUCGACGUUUUAUCUGCAGGACACUGAACUCUGAAGAGGUGUUGGCAUAAUCAACAAAAUUAUGACUGUUAUCACUCGAGCAGUAACGGAAGUUGUUGUAGGCGGUCUCAUCUGGAUUAAGCAACCAUUAGCAGAAUUCCUAGCGGGCUUAACUUUGUUGUUUCAAAUUGGAAUUGCAGUAGUAGGAGUGGUAACGUUUCUUCUGGCUAUAUAUUUGGAUAAAACUUCUGGCAGACGUGAAUCCUGGGUACUAUUGAUAUUCGUGUGGAUUUUCUUUUUUUUCUAUGCAAACACGUACGCCCCGUUGCAUUAUGAUCCCCCUCGAGGAAAUUGUUGGGAACAUGUUCGAAACAAGGUUUUUGCACUUUCUGAAGAAAUUAGAUUUGAAGACAUCAGAGUGCUUGAUGGACUGGUAGCUAACCGUCUCAUUCAAUCAAACAAGCACACCAUGGAAAUAAGUGAAAAGCGGGAAGACUGGAAACCGAAAGACAGCACCUGGUUGUUGAUAAACGUCCUUCCGUGGUCAGGAAAUAGUGGCUACACCAAGUUCUGUUGUAUGCUACAUGCAAAGUCUAAGUUGCCUGAACUUGGAAGAAACGUUUGUAACAAGUGCCACCAAUGGAAUAACCACGAAUGCGAAACAAAUAAUUCAGUGCAAUUUGUUUUUGACAAAUCUUGCUGGUCAGUACUUCUCACCUUCCGCCAGUCUCAGUUCGAUGUUGACAUGCCGAUUGCAUGGAAGUUUUUGAAUGACUUGGAUUUGGACUUUUCUUCAGUAGUGUCUAAUGCAUCGAUGGUCUGCACUAACCAGAGAAUCAUGGUAAGCCUAGAACUCAACAUUGAUGAAAAGUAUAUCCUCAAGAAAAUGUUUCAAGAAAACAUUGCUCGUCAUCUAGGAGUUAAGUUUUCUGAAAUAGAGGUAGUUUACUAUAAAAGAAACAAUACGUUGAUUCUGCUGCGUCUCUCACCGAGAGCUGGACUGCAACUGUUUAAUGCAAUGCAUGCAAGGAAGCUGAGAGAUCAAUUUGGCAAAAUGAUGGCAAAGGCGAUGAGAGGAGAUUCACUGGCAAAUGUCUCGAUUUUGGUGAAGAUGAGUGAUGUAUCACCAUCUACACUGUAUGUUGCUCCUACUGGGCCCGAGAUAGUGUCACAUUACACGUGGACGUUACCAGAAGAUGAGAACAUUACUACAAAAGUGCUUAGAAUUAAUUAAUUGGGGCGAGCCUUGGCCAGACCCUUCCUAUAUGUGUACUGUACUGCGUUGAGAUGUGAGUGAUGGUGUACGUCGGUCUUGCGACCGACCGGAUUCUAGGAAUGGUAUCUAACGCGAGGUAUCCGGGACCUUGCUGCCACAUGGGGCCGCUGCCACCUGGGGCCGGAUGUGAUACUAAUAUAACGCGCGUUCUCGAUGACUUGUUAUCACCUUCCCACUCCCAUCAGACGCACCAUGGGUCUCCUUUGAAGAUAGCGUAUCAUUCUUGAAAAUCACUAUUGAAAAUUAAAAGUGCCUCGUUGUUUUGGUAAGGUGUAAGAGCAAAUUGGUUUCCUGUCACAUCUUUAGCUUAGGAGAAAAUGAAAAUCUAACAAAGCCCUGAAGAAGUGAAAAUGACGGAAUCGUGAAUAGGAAAUUUCUAGAUGUACAAUAUUUAAGAAAAUGAAGGUUAUAGGGCCGGUGGGUGUGACAUCUGUUCAAUCCCUUUUUCUAACUGUUUGAAUCUGACCGUCUAAGUAGUUCCAAAUUGUUUACCUGCUUGAUGACAACGAUGGAUAUGAGUUACAAAGUGGUCUUUUCGCCCGCAGACUAUAUCACACAUGGGGCAGUGAAAGUGGCUACGAUGAACAGCAGAUGUUUCUUUUGUUGUGGCACAAUGUUGAUGGCAAGUUUAUUUGGUGUUGGUAAAGUCCUUUUGAGACAACAGAAGUGGCAAGAAGCAGAAAGGAUCUUGAAGGAAAGUGUCAACAUUUUGGGUGUGAGUAUAUGCAUACAUCCCACAACAAGUGCAGCAAUUCGACAUCUGAACUAUUGUUGACAAGGGUCCCCUUGAUGGACAUUUUGUUGAGAUUCCAAGACAACUGUCUUCUCUUCAUUCAGAUACACGAGUGGAUUAGGCCUGAAUAGACCUGGAAAGCGUGACUGAAGAUAUCUGGAAAUGAAGUUGACACUUGAUUGAGCAUAUGAGAUCUGUCCAUUGAAUUAAAAGCAUUUUUAUGUCUGACUUCAGACUUGUGUCUGUUUACCUGUCUCUCUGUGUCUCGUACAUAUAUUUUAAAUCAAACAUUUACAUCUUGAGCAACUUAGAAGAGAAACGUUUACAGCAACACUAAUACAGUGUCUGUCUGUCUGUCUGUCUGUUUGUCUGAUUUUUCUGACUCUGCUUAUCAAGUAAUUCUCUCGUCUGUUUGUAGAUUCCCCUUCCUGAGAACCCACCCUGGUGGUUGUUGUUUGAAGCUUGUUAUGAAGACAUUGAGGAAAUCAGUUGCACUAUCUUGGAACAUUAUGGAAGACCUCAAAGAGAAUUAUCGAAACUAGUAGAAGCAGUAACGGAGGCUAAGAAG